AAUUUUAAAGCUUUUUAGCAUUUCACUUACACUGAAAGGACCUUAUUUAACUUAAAUUA
rnacentral:tRNA from 1 species